UUGUCAUCCAUCGGUCUGAGGGCUGA
rnacentral:piRNA from 1 species